GCUGGUGGCCUUCGGUGUUUCGGGUUUGGCAGUUCACUCACCAAGGUGAUCUGAUGGAGUGCACUUCGCACGAUUCCAAGUACUUGCCUAAUGUUCAUCCUUUCCUCUAGACGGGGUAGGGCUGGUUCUGGAUCUUUUUCCGCGGUAGCUGGAGAGACGUAGGACCUGAUGAUGGCUACUAGAUGCCUGAGAAGGGAGAAGACAGAGGAGAAUGCCAGAUGAAGACAGAAACAGAGAUUGAAGUUAUGUGGCCAUAAUUCAAGGAUUGCUGGCAACACCAGAAGCCAAGAGAAAGAUGAGGAAGAAUUCUCCCCUAGACCUUUCAGAAGGAGCGUGGCCCAGCCAACACCCUGACUUCAGACUUCUGGCCUCCAGAACUGUGAGAAUAAAU
rnacentral:lncRNA from 1 species